rnacentral:rRNA from 1 species
CCUACGGGGGGCAGCAGUGGGGGAUAUUGCACAAUGGGGGAAACCCUGAUGCAGCGACGCCGCGUGGGUGAAGAAGCGCCUCGGCGCGUAAAGCCCUGUCAGCAGGGAAGAAAAUGACGGUACCUGAAGAAGAAGCCCCGGCUAACUACGUGCCAGCAGCCGCGGUAAUACGUAGGGGGCAAGCGUUAUCCGGAUUUACUGGGUGUAAAGGGGGCGCAGACGGCGAUGCAAGCCAGGAGUGAAAGCCCGGGGCCCAACCCCGGGACUGCUCUUGGAACUGCGUGGCUAGAUUGCAGGUGGGGCAG